CGGGACGGGUGAGUAAUGUCUGGGAAACUAGCCUGAUGGAGGGGGAUAACUACUGGAAACGGUAGCUAAUACCGCAUAACGUCGCAAGACCAAAGAGGGGGACCUUAGGGCCUCUUGCCAUCGGAUGUGCCCAGAUGGGAUUAGCUAGUAGGUGGGGUAACGGCUCACCUAGGCGACGAUCCCUAGCUGGUCUGAGAGGAUGACCAGCCACACUGGAACUGAGACACGGUCCAG
rnacentral:rRNA from 1 species